CUCGAUUGUUAAGUACCAUUGUA
rnacentral:piRNA from 1 species